rnacentral:rRNA from 1 species
UUAAUUGAAGAGUUUGAUCAUGGCUCAGAUUGAACGCUGGCGGCAGGCCUAACACAUGCAAGUCGAGCGGUAACAGAAAGGAAGCUUGCUUUCUUUGCUGACGAGCGGCGGACGGGUGAGUAAUGCCUGGGAAUAUACCCUGAUGUGGGGGAUAACUAUUGGAAACGAUAGCUAAUACCGCAUAAUCUCUUCGGAGCAAAGAGGGGGACCUUCGGGCCUCUCGCGUCAGGAUUAGCCCAGGUGGGAUUAGCUAGUUGGUGGGGUAAUGGCUCACCAAGGCGACGAUCCCUAGCUGGUCUGAGAGG